CAUGCCCUGGUAAGCCUUCUUCAAAACCUGAACAAAGCCAACUACCAGCUGCCCAUCAUGGUGACAGAUUCAGGGAAACCGCCCAUGACGAACGUCACAGACCUCAGGGUACAAGUGUGUUCCUGCAAGAAUUCCAAAGUGGACUGCAACGCCGCGGGGGCCCUGCACUUCAGCCUGACCUCAGUCCUGCUCAUCUCCCUCUUCAGUUUAGCUUGUCUGUGAGAACUCCUGACAUCUGACGCUUGACUACCAAGUUUCCAUAGCAACAGGAAAAAAAAUCCAAAUCGGAAGAUUGCCGUUUACAGCUUUCGAACUUCACAACUAGGCCUCAAUUGCUCCAGAUUUUCCUUUUCUUUGCCAUUUCAUUUAGUCUGUACUUCACCAUUUUGACAGCAUCUUCCUUUCUCCUUUGAUUAAUGGGAUUCUCUGAAUUCCCCGAGUGUUUAAAGAUCAUGGCAUAUCACGUGCCCUCCGGGAGCAGGAACAAUGACUACUUUUUCUGAUGUGUUGCCACAUUGCUAGUCAGCAGUCCACACCUCCAGCUGUGUCUGUGGGUUAGUAUCUGUAUAUGUAUGAGUAUCUGUACGUGUACAUAUCAGUAUUUAUAGAGUGAGAUGAGAUAGGACAACCCAGUUUUGAUGUGUCAUUCUCCCUUGAGAGGCUAAACAAAAAGGGAUGGAGGCCAGCAGCUGACCCCCCAGGACCUCAGCAGCAAGCUGGGCAUUAGCGCAGACCAGAGCUGAUGCUUCCCCACCGUCCCAUUCGGUCUGAAUGCUGCCAUGACCAGCAGGCAGGUCUGCAGAGAGAGAGAGAGAGAGAGAGAGAGAGAGAGAGAGAGAGGCCUUUCUCUUCACCUGAGGGCUACACCCAGUUUUCACUGCCAUCAUAUGCCGUGAUCCUGAGCAAAAGUGGUGGGGAGCAGAGCAGGAAAUGUUACCAUCAAAUGCCAAGCAAAGGGCUGAAAUAUUCGUCCCUGGGCACCUGUCUGCAUUUGUAUGUGUCCUAAAUCCACAGUCCCCCUCUGGACUUAGUUCUUAUGGGGACACGGAUCAUGGCAGAGAACCCCUCCCUCCUCGGUACAUUUGCAAUUGCAAGUGUCAUCCUGGAGGUCACACGUGCAUAUGAAGAGGCUGACAGAUACCGCGUGUAUACAUAUACUAGUAUAUGCCCACAUGUAUAGACAUACACUUACACGCAUACACGCCAUUUGUUUCAUAUACCUGCAUAAAAUAGAGUAAAUACAGGUAGUUUUAAAAGUACCCUUUUGUGUGAAUCGAAUACAGUUGUUUGCAAACCUACAAAUAAAAGACGUUCGUUAUGUUUGAAAAGUAAUUGAUUUUGAUUCUGUGAGCAUGUCAACGUAAGAGGAAAGUUAGUGCUUGUACUAAGAUUAUCUUCUUGUCGAUAAACUGUAAAUGAACCAUCCAAGCUCACACCAAAUUUUUCUAUCAGAUAAAACUAGUGACAGCCUGUGGCUUUUUACUAGAGCUCGCCACAAACUAGGGUAAGUGUCUUAGCACAUUUUAAUGCAGUUGCUUACUAAAGGUUUUAACCACACACGCACACACGCUUUCUUACGCAGUCUCUGUUGGCAUCUGUGCUUUUCCGUUCGCCUUCUGUAGGAAGUAGACGUCAUAUGUUGUCUUUAUUGUAGUAAAAUUAUACAGAUAGAGUUCCAUAUAUUGUAUUUGUUUCAACAGUAAAUCUUUUGGAGCAUAUAGAAUGCAGAGAUUUUUUUUUCUCCAUUGAAAUAAAUGGGUAUUGGUGGUUAAAACUGCUGGACAAUA